rnacentral:rRNA from 1 species
AGUGAACGCUGGCGGUAGGCCUAACACAUGCAAGUCGAACGGCAGCACAGUAAGAUCUUGCUCUUACAGGUGGCGAGUGGCGGACGGGUGAGGAAUACAUCGGAAUCUACUUUUUCGUGGGGGAUAACGUAGGGAAACUUACGCUAAUACCGCAUACGACCUACGGGUGAAAGCAGGGGAUCUUCGCACCUUGCGCGAUUGAAUGAGCCGAUGCCGGGUUAGCUAGUUGGCGGGGUAAAGGCCCACCAAGGCGACGAUCCGUAGCUGGUCUGAGAGGAUGAUCAGCCACACUGGAACUGAGACACGGUCCAGACUCCUACGGGAGGCAGCAGUGGGGAAUAUUGGACAAUGGGCGCAAGCCUGAUCCAGCCAUACCGCGUGGGUGAAGAAGGCCUUCGGGUUGUAAAGCCCUUUUGUUGGGAAAGAAAAGCAGCAGGUUAAUACCCCGCUGUUCUGACGGUACCCAAAGAAUAAGCACCGGCUAACUUCGUG